GAAAACCCACUCACUCCCCUUCCCCUCCACCCGAUUUUGAUUUUUUAUUUUUUUUGGCUCAAAGUUUUCCGGGAUCCUGAGCCUCGAAUCUCGUCGCUGACGACUAUCCUCACAUUGUCUGCCACGUAAGUAUUAAUUUCGACAACUCGAGACGAGUGAAAUCUGAAAUCUGGGCUUCGGGGAAAGAAAUCGUCCCGCUUUGUCCGACAAAAGUAAACCCUUCGAGCGGCAAGUACCAACAAAUGAAUGGUCCGACAAACUCGGGUAUGAGAUAUCUAUCAGGCAAUUUCUUGAAAGAACUUCCAAGAUGAGAACGGUCUCACAUCAUUUUUUUUUUGAUUUCCGCGGGCUUUAAGAAGAAGAACCCUGUUCAACGCAACCUGUCAUGUCAGCGCUUUUUGCGAGAGAGGAACAUGUUUGGUGUUUUUGAGCAUCCGCGAACGAACCGAAAUACCUCCCAGAUAAGAUUUGUAACUCCUUGAAAACGCCACGGUGGGGGAGGACGAUAUUAAUUGCUGAUGCACAAGUGCCCCUCCUACCUGAUGUCAUUGGAUGCGCGAAGGAAAAGCCCGUGAAACCCGCAUCGCAUUGCGCUGUCGACGAUAGUGAGGGAAGUCGUCUUGUGUGGCUUGGGGUGGAGUGGUGGGCGGAUGUGUCAAAUGUUUUAAGUCAGGCGGGAAUGGACAUCACAUAUGUGCUACGUGUUUGGAAGGCCAUUUUCAAUGAUGGCCGACCUUGAUGCGAUUGGCUGGAUAGCCCUCCAUGGAUACAGACCCUAACACAUGGGACAUGAUGCAAUUUUCUCCAGCAUGUUCAGGGCUUUAGCUUGAGAUUCCAACCGGCAAAAACUGCCUUCUUUAAAAUUACAUGUACUAGUCACCGCUCGGGGUUGGAGGGUGACAAUCGCUUAGGGUAUCGGUAACAGUAUCUCAACACAUCUCCUGUGUAGCUGAUGCAUUUUAGAGUUGUCAACGAUUUGCUCACUACAGAUGUAUGGACAUCAGAAUUGGGUUUAUCUGAUCCGGGACGAACAAAGAUGUUGGGUAUUGGUCCUGUGGCAAGACCCAGGUGGUACCACGGAACCCAGAAAAAAAGAAAAAAA
rnacentral:sRNA from 2 species